GACGUAGGGCGCGAGCGUUGUCCGGAUUUAUUGGGCGUAAAGAGCUCGUAGGUGGUUUGUCGCGUUUGUCCGUGAAAACUCACGGCUUAACUGUGGGCGUGCGGGCGAUACGGGCAGACUAGAGUACUGCAGGGGAGACUGGAAUUCCUGGUGUAGCGGUGAAAUGCGCAGAUAUCGGGAAGAACACCCGUGGCGAAGGCGGUUCUCUGGGACGGUACUGACGCUGAGGCGCGACAGCGUGGGGGAGCAAACAGG
rnacentral:rRNA from 1 species